AAUCUCCUCAUCAAAUGAAACAGAUACUUUACUAAACAUACAAUAGCAAGAAGUUUUAUAAGCAGCAAAGCUUUAAAAGAAGUAUACUCUAAGUGAUGGUGGCUCUUUUGUGAGGUUGUCAUGCCAUAUCGGAUGUGGGUCGUACAUGUGGCAUUUAGACUUGGAAGUACCAAUCUUAUAAUCUGAUCUAUGUAAGUACCAAUCUUAUAAUCUGAUCUAUGUAAGCUCAUAAUAUAAUUAGAAACAUUCUAGAUUUGGGUGAUUCUACCUAAUUUCAAGAAACUCUAAUCAACACUACAAAUACAUUUAUGAAAUGACAGCAGCACUUACGUUCCAGAGAAUGCCAAAAUUCCGGUGCUCAAAAGGCCUCCAAAGUCCAAACUACAACCAAAUACAAGAAUAAAAAAUCAAAUAAACUACGUUUACAUAUAUGAUAUACGUAUACAUUCUAAAAGAUUACUAGGCAAUAAUCAAGGAACAGGACCUCAGUUGGGUUGUUUGGUGACAGGAGCAGCCAACAGGGCAGCUGUAUGAACCAAAUGGCAGAGAGAUGCCGUGUGACAAACCUUCCAAAUAACAUAAAAAAAUGGUUAAGAAAGCAAGUUGGGUUUCUCUUGGGAUUAACAACAAACAGGUAGUAGGCGUUACAGAAGAUGGAAACUGAAAGUUACCUCUUUGAAGUUGGGUUUUGGGUUUUGAAGCCAAGGGCACCAUAUGUCCCCAACCCAAGAGCUAAUACUCCUGAUUACGUGUUUCUAAAAAUGGGGAUUUAUCACAGAAAUCAACAGAAAUCUCAAAAUCAGAAAUGUAUCUAUAGAUACAAACAAAUACGUGCUUUAACUGUAUGUAGAGACAGAGACAGACAGAGGAGAGAGAGUGUGUGUGUGUGUGUGUGUGGUGGUGGUGCGUGGGUGGGGUUGGGGGGGUUGGGGGUUUACCAUAUCUGAGAAGCCAGCAACUUUGUGCCAGAGUAGAGGAUUCGUUUUUCUUCAGUCUCAAGUUCGAAGCUUCAUGAAUCGGAGAUCUGGAAAUAAAACGUCGUCGUUUCCGUUUCUUAAGCAUUGAUCGCCUUCUCAUUAUAAACGGCACCGUUUUGGAUACUGAACACUUUCC
rnacentral:lncRNA from 1 species